AGAGUUUGAUCCUGGCUCAGGACGAACGCUGGCGGCGUGCCUAAUACAUGCAAGUAGAACGCUGAAGAGAGGAGCUUGCUCUUCUUGGAUGAGUUGCGAACGGGUGAGUAACGCGUAGGUAACCUGCCUGGUAGCGGGGGAUAACUAUUGGAAACGAUAGCUAAUACCGCAUAAAAUGGAUUAUCGCAUGAUAAUUCAUUGAAAGGUGCAAAUGCAUCACUACCAGAUGGACCUGCGUUGUAUUAGCUAGUUGGUGGGGUAACGGCUCACCAAGGCAACGAUACAUAGCCGACCUGAGAGGGUGAUCGGCCACACUGGGACUGAGACACGGCCCAGACUCCUACGGGAGGCAGCAGUAGGGAAUCUUCGGCAAUGGACGGAAGUCUGACCGAGCAACGCCGCGUGAGUGAAGAAGGUUUUCGGAUCGUAAAGCUCUGUUGUAAGAGAAGAACGAGUGUGAGAGUGGAAAGUUCACACUGUGACGGUAUCUUACCAGAAAGGGACGGCUAACUACGUGCCAGCAGCCGCGGUAAUACGUAGGUCCCGAGCGUUGUCCGGAUUUAUUGGGCGUAAAGCGAGCGCAGGCGGUUAGAUAAGUCUGAAGUUAAAGGCUGUGGCUUAACCAUAGUACGCUUUGGAAACUGUUUAACUUGAGUGCAAGAGGGGAGAGUGGAAUUCCAUGUGUAGCGGUGAAAUGCGUAGAUAUAUGGAGGAACACCGGUGGCGAAAGCGGCUCUCUGGCUUGUAACUGACGCUGAGGCUCGAAAGCGUGGGGAGCAAACAAGAUUAGAUACCCUGGUAGUCCCCGCCGUAAAC
rnacentral:rRNA from 1 species